AUGGCUCGUAAGCAGCUGAAUCUGACCGCGUCAGUCGGCGGUCGAGCAGACAGCAGCAACUGCGCUGCUCCUGCUCGUUGGAGUGGCGCCCGUGGCAACACCACCGCCGCGGCUGCACCCCUGCCGGCCUCGGGAACCUCCAUGGCUGACCUCACACAGCGCCGCCCCGUUCUGGCCUCAAACGCGGCGAAGGAGGUCCUGGGCGAGGGAGGCGCGGACGGCGGCGAAGAGAAGGGCCGCCGGGAGUGGUCGCGAGUCGACCACCUCGCAGUCGCCGGGGAUCUGGAGGCCGGCCGGCGGAGAUCACCAUAUCUGUUUUCUAUUUCUAUCAGGCGGCGGAUGCGGUGGGUUGGGGGCGACGGGGGUGUUGCGUCCGUCCGGGUCCUAUGA
rnacentral:rRNA from 1 species